CAGUCGCCGCGGUAAUACGAAGGGGGCUAGCGUUGCUCGGAAUGACUGGGCGUAAAGGGCGCGUAGGCGGCUUGCACAGUCAGAUGUGAAAUUCCUGGGCUUAACCUGGGGGCUGCAUUUGAUACGUGUGGGCUAGAAUGUGAAAGAGGGUCGUGGAAUUCCCAGUGUAGAGGUGAAAUUCGUAGAUAUUGGGAAGAACACCGGUGGCGAAGGCGGCGACCUGGUUCAUGAUUGACGCUGAGGCGCGAAAGCGUGGGGAGCAAACAGGAUUAGAACCCCAGUAGUCCCUGUCUCUUAUACA
rnacentral:rRNA from 1 species